rnacentral:rRNA from 1 species
CCUACGGGUGGCAGCAGUGGGGGAUAUUGCACAAUGGGGGAAACCCUGAUGCAGCGACGCCGCGUGAGUGAAGAAGUAUUUCGGUCUGUAAAGCUCUAUCAGCAGGGAAGAAAAUGACAGUACCUGACCAAGAAGCCCCGGCUAACUACGUGCCAGCCGCCGCGGUACUACGUAGGGGGCAAGCGUUAUCCGGAUUUACUGGGUGUAAAGGGAGCGUAGACGGUUAUGUAAGUCUGGAGGUAAAGCCCGGGGCCGAACCGCGGGACUGCUUUGGAUAGUGUGUAACUGGAGUACAGGUGGGGUGGGCGGAAUUCGUGGUGUAGCGGUGAAAUGCGUAGAUAUCAGGAGGAACACCGGCGGCGAAGGCGGCCUGCGGAACUGAAACUGACGUUGAGGCUCGAAAGCGUGGGGAGCAAACAGGAUUAGAUACCCCUGUAGUC